AUGUCCAUAUAUUGGGCCUAAGCGUCGUACUGGCGACAAGUCUACCGGGAAAUCACCCGCCCAACGGGUGGGCGUACGGUAGAAACUGGCCUGGCUAUGGAACCUGGACAGGCUCCAGCAGAGUACAGUCCUGGGGGUACGGAGUGCAAAUCCCGAUAAUCCCGUGACGGACUACCAGAUGGCUGAAAUCACUCUGCAGAAGACGGCUUCGACCAGUGAGGGACGAAAGCUCGGGUCUCAAACC
rnacentral:rRNA from 1 species